rnacentral:rRNA from 1 species
CAGCCGCCACGGGAAUACGAAGGGGGCUAGCGUUGUUCGAAAUCACUGGGCGUAAAGCGCACGUAGGCGGACACUUAAGUCAGAGGUGAAAUCCCAAGGCUCAACCUUGGAACUGCCUUUGAUACUGGGUGUCUUGAGUUCGGGAGAGGUGAGUGGAACUGCGAGUGUAGAGGUGAAAUUCGUAGAUAUUCGCAAGAACACCAGUGGCGAAGGCGGCUCACUGGCCCGAUACUGACGCUGAGGUGCGAAAGCGUGGGGAGCAAACAGGAUUAGAUACCCCGGUAGUCCCUGUCUCUUAUAC